rnacentral:rRNA from 1 species
GUGGGGAAUAUUGGUCAAUGGGGGAAACCCUGAACCAGCAACGCCGCGUGAAGGAAGAAGGCUUUCGGGUUGUAAACUUCUUUGACAGGGGACGAAAGCAAUGACGGUACCCUGAAAACAAGCCACGGCUAACUACGUGCCAGCAGCCGCGGUAAUACGUAGGUGGCGAGCGUUGUCCGGAUUUACUGGGUGUAAAGGGCGUGUAGGCGGGGCGGUAAGUCAGAUGUGAAAUGUAGGGGCUCAACCCCUGAAUUGCAUUUGAAACUAUCGUUCUUGAGUGAUGGAGAGGCAGGCGGAAUUCCGUGUGUAGCAGUGAAAUGCGUAGAUAUACGGAGGAACACCAGUGGCGAAGGCGGCCUGCUGGACAUUAACUGACGCUGAGGCGCGAAAGCGUGGGGAGCAAACAGGAUUAGAAACCCCGGUAGUCC